GUAACCUGUGGGGAAGAGUGGUUCAUGCUGACUGUUAUGGGCACAAAUGGUGGUGACCUCAAUGUAGCUUCUAAAGGCUACUCAAGUCAAAGAUCUCUUUGCUGAGGAGGAAACUGAGAUGCAGAAGGACUAAGUUACUUAACCAACAUCAUAUCUGGAGUCAGAGUAAUGCCAUUGCAUUUUUUGGGGCCAAAGGACUGGGAUUCAUAUCCUGCUUCUGAUGGUUAGCACAUGUACAUGUUGUUACCCUCAAUUUAAGGAAAGAGGGAUAAUUUUUUUAAAAAGGGGGUACAGUUGCCAGAGUGUCAGAUUCAUAGCUGGAAACCCAGCCUCAGAUCCUGAUUCUGCUUUGCUACCAAGUGUGUGAGAGCAUGAAGAUGUCAAUCUCUCUGAGCCUCAGUAU